rnacentral:sRNA from 1 species
CUUCCUCAUCGCUAAAUUGCUUGGA